UACGGGGGGAGCAAGCGUUGUUCGGAUUUACUGGGCGUAAAGGGCGCGUAGGCGGUCAGCACAAGUCAGUUGUGAAAUCUCCGGGCUUAACUCGGAAAGGUCAACUGAUACUGUGCGACUAGAGUGCGGAAGGGGCAACUGGAAUUCUCGGUGUAGCGGUGAAAUGCGUAGAUAUCGGGAGGAACACCUGUGGCGAAGGCGGCCCCCUGGUUGGAUACUGACGCUGAUACGCGAAAGCGUGGGGAGCAAACAGG
rnacentral:rRNA from 1 species